rnacentral:rRNA from 1 species
GAUGAACGCUGGCGGCGUGCUUAACACAUGCAAGUCGAACGAACCUUCGGGUUAGUGGCGGACGGGUGAGUAACGCGUGAGAAUCUGCCCUCAGGAGGGGGACAACAGCUGGAAACGGCUGCUAAUACCCCAUAUGCCGCGAGGUGAAAUGAAUUUCGCCUGAGGAUGAGCUCGCGUCUGAUUAGCUAGUUGGUGUAGGUAAUGGCUCACCAAGGCAUCGAUCAGUAGCUGGUCUGAGAGGAUGAUCAGCCACACUGGGACUGAGACACGGCCCAGACUCCUACGGGAGGCAGCAGUGGGGAAUUUUCCGCAAUGGGCGAAAGCCUGACGGAGCAACGCCGCGUGAGGGAUGAAGGCCUCUGGGCUGUAAACCUCUUUUAUCAAGGAAGAAGAUCUGACGGUACUUAAGGAAUAAGCCACGGCUAAUUCCGUG